UACAGAGGUCCCAAGCGUUGUUCGGAUUCACUGGGCGUAAAGGGUGCGCAGGUGGGUUUGCAAGUUCGAUGUGAAAGCCCCGGGCUUAACCCGGGAAUGGCAUUGGAUACUGCAGAUCUGGAGGAUCGGAGGGGGGACUGGAAUUCUUGGUGUAGCAGUGAAAUGCGUAGAUAUCAGGAGGAACACCGGUGGCGAAGGCAGGUCUCUGGGCAUUAACUGACGCUGAGGAGCGAAAGCAUGGGGAGCGAACAGG
rnacentral:rRNA from 1 species